GCUGCAGCUCUACACACGACUUUUCUGGUUUUAUCUUUAUUUAGCUUCUGUUUCCUGUAAAUUUAAUUAAUAUAGAAGAUAUGGAGUGUAGCUGCAGCAAUUUUAGAAGCUCUUCUUCUCUGCUUCUAUCAUCUUCUACUCCUUCUUCUCGCCUUUCUCAGUCUCACUUCCCUUCUAAGCGCAGUUUAUCGCAGAAAUUAAAGGUGCGAAAUCGUUUAGUGAUUAGAAAUUCUUGUCGGUUCGACGAAAAUGGUUCUGUUAAUGAGUUUCCCACCACACCCAACAAGUUAUUCAUGCAAGAGGCUAUUGGAGCUGAAUAUGGAGAAGGCUUUGAGACUUUUAGACAAGAUGGGCCUCUGAAGGUUGAUGUGGAUUUUUUGAAUGAUAGACUGCAAGAAGGUUUUCUUCAACGGAUACGCUAUGCCAUGAAACCUGAUGAAGCAUAUGGUCUUAUUUUCUCUUGGGACAAUGUUGUGGUGGAUACUCGUGCUAUGAAGUUCAAUGUGUGGAAGCAGCUUGCAUCUGAAGAGGAAAAGGAAAUUCCAAAAAAUGGACAUGCACAAAGACUGAUGCUAUAUGCAGGCGCUGAUCAUGUACUGCGCAAGGUGUUGCAAUGGGAGACGGCACAAAGUGAAGUGGACAGAUUAAAGUUGAGAUUGUCACAAUUAUACCAUGAUUAUCUACUUAGACUUAGAGAACCCAUUGAGGGCCUGGAAGAAUGGCUGGAUGCUGUAGCUAGAGCUCGUAUUCCUUGUGCUGUGGUUUCAAGCCUUGAUCGAGUGAACAUGAUAGGAGCUUUGGAGCGAAUGGGGCUCAAGAAGUAUUUUCAGGCUAUAGUGUCCGAGGAAGAUGGCAUGGAGUCAAUAGCUCAUAGAUUUCUUUCAGCAGCUUUGAAGCUAGAUAGGAAACCAUCCAAAUGUGUGGUGUUCGAGGAUGAUCCCAGAGGCAUAACUGCUGCUCACAACUGUACUAUGAUGGCUGUGGCAUUGAUUGGUGCUCAUCCCGCGUAUGAAUUAGUGCAGGCUGAUCUCGCUGUUGCUAGCUUCAAUGAACUCUCAGUGAUAAACCUUAGGAGGUUAUUUGCUAAUAAUGGUUCUGGAUUUAUGGACCGACAAAAGCAGAUUAUAGAGAAAUCUCCCCCAAAAAGAAAGCUAACAAUUGACACCAUUUUCUGAUUUCUUUACAUCUUGCCCCUCUAUUUCUUUAUUUUAUCCUAGCAUCUUCUUGUUCUUUUUUUUUUUUUUUUCCCAUUCCCAUCCACUCCCCUGAUAGAAUAUUCAUUUGUUAUUUACAUUCUUUAUGUGAAUGUACAAUAAUUUAGAGGUUUUGUAGCUUCCUAUGUGAUCAACAUGUUGGAAUAUUAUUAUCCAAUUGUCAAAGUUUAGCACUCAAUGUAUAGUUGAGUCAAAGUUGAGUUGCAAUGUAAUGCAUUCCUUCUAAGCUGUAUACUGUUGGGAGUAGGUGAAAAAUUGGGACGGAUUGGGUAUCAACCAAUUUUGAACUGCAGAAAAUUUUAAUAUUUACAUCUUUUCUGUACCUAUUUAAAGUUCUUUUUGAAUUAUUCUUAUUCAAAUUUGUUUAGUCUUAA